rnacentral:rRNA from 1 species
AGAGUGUAAAGGCAAAAGAGAGCUUGAUUGCAAGACAUACAGGUCGAGCAAGGAUGAAAAUCGGACUUAGUGAUCCGGUGGUUCUGCGUGGAAGGGCCAUCGCUCAACGGAUAAAAGCUACCCUGGGGAUAACAGGCUUAGCUCCCCCAAGAGUCCACAUCGACGGGGAGGUUUGGCACCUCGAUGUCGGCUCAUCACAUCCUGGGGCUGUAGUAGGUCCCAAGGGUUGGGCUGUUCGCCCAUUAAAGUGGUACGCGAGCUGGGUUCAGAACGUCGUGAGACAGUUCGGUCCCUAUCCGUCGCAGGCGUAGGAAAUUUG